rnacentral:rRNA from 1 species
UGAGGAUUGGCACCUCGAUGUUGGCUUAGGGAAUCUAUGCGGCGCAAAAGUCACAUAAAGAUGGUUUGUUCAACCAAUAACACCCUACAUGAGCUGAGUUCAGACCGGCGUAAGCCAGGUUAGUUUCUAUCCUCAAUAUUCAUAUUUUACUUAUAGUACGAAAGGACCUAAGUAUAAGCAACAAUUGCAAUAAAAUGAAUAAAUAUAAAAUAAAUUUAAUA